ACCAUCCUACGGGGGGCAGCAGUGGGGAAUAUUGGGCAAUGGGCGCAAGCCUGACCCAGCAACGCCGCGUGAAGGAAGAAGGCUUUCGGGUUGUAAACUUCUUUUAUGAGGGACGAAACAAAUGACGGUACCUCAUGAAUAAGCCACGGCUAACUACGUGCCAGCAGCCGCGGUAAUACGUAGGUGGCAAGCGUUAUCCGGAUUUACUGGGUGUAAAGGGCGUGUAGGCGGGACUGCAAGGCAGAUGUGAAAAUUAAGGGCUCAACCCAUAACCUGCAUUUGAAACUGUAGUGCUUGAGUGGUGG
rnacentral:rRNA from 1 species